UAUGGAAGGCAGCAGUGGGGAAUAUUGCACAAUGGGCGCAAGCCUGAUGCAGCCAUGCCGCGUGUAUGAAGAAGGCCUUCGGGUUGUAAAGUACUUUCAGUCGUGAGGAAGGUGUUAAGGUUAAUAACCUUAGCAAUUGACGUUAGCGACAGAAGAAGCACCGGCUAACUCCGUGCCAGCAGCCGCGGUAAUACGGAGGGUGCGAGCGUUAAUCGGAAUUACUGGGCGUAAAGGGCACGCAGGCGGUUAAUUAAGUUGGAUGUGAAAUCCCCGGGCUUAACCUGGGAAUGGCAUUCAAGCUGGUUAGCUAGAGUCUUGUAGAGGGGGUAGAAUUCCAUGUGUAGCGGUGAAAUGCGUAGAGAUGUGGAGGAAUACCGGUGGCGAAGGCGGCCCCUGGGACAAAGGACUGACGCUCAUGUGCGAAAGCGUGGGGAGCAAACAGGGAUUAGAUACC
rnacentral:rRNA from 1 species